AUUUCCUUCCAAAACGUUUGGUAAAAUUGGAAUGACACAGAGAAAGAUUAGCAUGGCUCCUCUCAGAGAAUGCCACAAACAGCAGCCUUAUAACUCGUUAUUUU